UUGACCUCAAAUCAGGUAGGACUACCCGCUGAACUUAAGCAUAUCAAUAAGCGGAGGAAAAGAAACCAACAGGGAUUGCCUCAGUAGCGGCGAGUGAAGCGGCAAAAGCUCAAAUUUGAAAUCUGGCGUCUUUGGCGUCCGAGUUGUAAUUUGAAGAAGGUAUC
rnacentral:rRNA from 1 species